rnacentral:lncRNA from 1 species
CUUUGUAAUCGUUACAGUUGAUUUCACAUAACUUUUCCGUGCAUGUUGCGAACUUCGUUGUGAAGUUCAAAAGUUCAUACUGAAAUUCACAACCAAGUUCGGAACGAAGUUCGCAACAUGCACGGAAAAGUUAUAUGAAAUCAACUGUAAUGUGUUUAUCAUAUCAAACUAUAACUUUAUGAUUCAAUGCACAACAAACACAAACAAAUAUAUACAAUGCAAUGUUACUAUUAUCUUUUACAAUAUUACUAUUACUAUAACAUGAUUUCAGAUUACAUUAUACUGUAACCAAAAUAAUUAACAAGAACAACGACGUGUUUAGACUUACAGUGAAUCGUCCAAGUAUUGAUUAUAUUGAAAUCAAGAAAUAAUGAGUCAAAUUAAAGAACAUACCGA